rnacentral:rRNA from 1 species
GACGAACGCUGGCGGCGUGCCUAAUACAUGCAAGUUGAGCGAUGAAGAUUGGUGCUUGCCCCAAUUUGAAGAGCAGCGAACGGGUGAGUAACGCGUGGGGAAUCUGCCUUUGAGCGGGGGACAACAUUUGGAAACGAAUGCUAAUACCGCAUAACAACUUUAAACAUAAGUUUUAAGUUUGAAAGAUGCAAUUGCAUCACUCAAAGAUGAUCCCGCGUUGUAUUAGCUAGUUGGUGAGGUAAAGGCUCACCAAGGCGAUGAUACAUAGCUGACCUGAGAGGGUGAUCGGCCACAUUGGGACUGAGACACGGCCCAAACUCCUACGGGAGGCAGCAGUAGGGAAUCUUCGGCAAUGGACGAAAGUCUGGCCGAGCAACGCCGCGUGAGUGAAGAAGGUUUUCGGAUCGUAAAACUCUGUUGGUAGAGAAGAACGUUGGUGAGAGUGGAAAGCUCAUCAAGUGACGGUAACUACCCAGAAAGGGACGGCUAACUACGUG